GCAGCCUGAUGCAGCGACGCCGCGUGAGGGAUGACGGCCUUCGGGUUGUAAACCUCUUUCAAUAGGGACGAAGCGCAAGUGACGGUACCUAUAGAAGAAGGACCGGCCAACUACGUGCCAGCAGCCGCGGUAAUACGUAGGGUCCGAGCGUUGUCCGGAAUUACUGGGCGUAAAGAGCUCGUAGGUGGUUUGUCGCGUUGUUCGUGAAAACUCACAGCUCAACUGUGGGCGUGCGGGCGAUACGGGCAGACUAGAGUACUGCAGGGGAGACUGGAAUUCCUGGUGUAGCGGUGGAAUGCGCAGAUAUCAGGAGGAACACCGGUGGCGAAGGCGGGUCUCUGGGCAGUAACUGACGCUGAGGAGCGAAAGCGUGGGGAGCGAACAGGAUUAGAUACCCUGGUAGUCCACGCCGUAAACGGUGGGUACUAGGUGUGGGUUUCCUUCCUUGGGAUCCGUGCCGUAGCUAACGCAUUAAGUACCCCGCCUGGGGAGUACGGCCGCAAGGCUAAAACUCAAAGAAAUUGACGGGGGCCCGCACAAGCGGCGGAGCAUGUGGAUUAAUUCGAUGCAACGCGAAGAACCUUACCUGGGUUUGACAUGCACAGGACGCCGGCAGAGAUGUCGGUUCCCUUGUGGCCUG
rnacentral:rRNA from 1 species